rnacentral:rRNA from 1 species
UGGGGAAUAUUGGACAAUGGGCGAAAGCCUGAUCCAGCCAUGCCGCGUGAGUGAUGAAGGCCCUAGGGUUGUAAAGCUCUUUUGUGCGGGAAGAUAAUGACGGUACCGCAAGUAUAAGCCCCGGCUAACUUCGUGCCAGCAGCCGCGGUAAUACGAAGGGGGCUAGCGUUGCUCGGAAUCACUGGGCGUAAAGGGUGCGUAGGCGGGUUUCUAAGUCAGAGGUGAAAGCCUGGAGCUCAACUCCAGAACUGCCUUUGAUACUGGAAGUCUUGAGUUCGGGAGAGGUGAGUGGAACUGCGAGUGUAGAGGUGAAAUUCGUAGAUAUUCGCAAGAACACCAGUGGCGAAGGCGGCUCACUGGCCCGAUACUGACGCUGAGGCACGAAAGCGUGGGGAGCAAACA